CGUGAUGACUAACAACUCCCGUUACUUACGUUUUCGAAUGCUCUGAUUGGAGGGUUUCUCACGCUGCAGCUCGACCUGGAAGACCUCUGGGACACCGAGACAUCUUAU